CUCCACAGACCAGCCUCUGCCAUGGACCUGUUUGGGGACCUGCCGGAGCCUGAGCCCUCGUAGGCUGCCAGGAAAAAAGCUCAGAA